UAGGGAAUCUUCGGCAAUGGACGGAAGUCUGACCGAGCAACGCCGCGUGAGUGAAGAAGGUUUUCGGAUCGUAAAGCUCUGUUGUAAGAGAAGAACGAGUGUGAGAGUGGAAAGUUCACACUGUGACGGUAUCUUACCAGAAAGGGACGGCUAACUACGUGCCAGCAGCCGCGGUAAUACGUAGGUCCCGAGCGUUGUCCGGAUUUAUUGGGCGUAAAGCGAGCGCAGGCGGUUAGAUAAGUCUGAAGUUAAAGGCUGUGGCUUAACCAUAGUAGGCUUUGGAAACUGUUUAACUUGAGUGCAAGAGGGGAGAGUGGAAUUCCAUGUGUAGCGGUGAAAUGCGUAGAUAUAUGGAGGAACACCGGUGGCGAAAGCGGCUCUCUGGCUUGUAGCUGACGCUGAGGCUCGAAAGCGUGGGGAGCAAACAGGAUUAGAUACCCUGGUAGUCCACGCUGUAAACGAUGAGUGCUAGGUGUUAGACCCUUUCCGGGGUUUAGUGCCGUAGCUAACGCAUUAAGCACUCCGCCUGGGGAGUACGACCGCAAGGUU
rnacentral:rRNA from 1 species